GCCCGGGUGCUGAAACUGGUAGACAGCCCUGACUUAAAAUCAGGUGACCGCAAGGUCGUGUGAGUUCGAUUCUCACCCCGGGCACAA
rnacentral:tRNA from 1 species